rnacentral:rRNA from 1 species
GGUGAGUAACAUUUAGGAAUCUGCCUAGUAGUGGGGGAUAGCUCGGGGAAACUCGAAUUAAUACCGCAUACGACCUACGGGUGAAAGGGGGCGCAAGCUCUUGCUAUUAGAUGAGCCUAAAUCAGAUUAGCUAGUUGGUGGGGUAAAGGCCCACCAAGGCGACGAUCUGUAACUGGUCUGAGAGGAUGAUCAGUCACACCGGAACUGAGACACGGUCCGGACUCCUACGGGAGGCAGCAGUGGGGAAUAUUGGACAAUGGGGGCAACCCUGAUCCAGCCAUGCCGCGUGUGUGAAGAAGGCCUUUUGGUUGUAAAGCACUUUAAGCAGGGAGGAGAGGCUAAUGGUUAAUACCCAUUAGAUUAGACGUUACCUGCAGAAUAAGCACCGGCUAACUCUGUGCCAGCAGCCGCGGUAAUACAGAGGGUGCGAGCGUUAAUCGGAAUUACUGGGCGUAAAGCGAGUGUAGGUGGCUCAUUAAGUCACAUGUGAAAUCCCCGGGCUUAACCUGGGAACUGCAUGUGAUACUGGUGGUGCUAGAAUAUGUGAGAGGGAAGUAGAAUUCCAGGUGUAGCGGUGAAAUGCGUAGAGAUCUGGAGGAAUACCGAUGGCGAAGGCAGCUUCCUGGCAUAAUAUUGACACUGAGAUUCGAAAGCGUGGGUAGCAAACAGGAUUAGAUACCCUGGUAGUCCACGCCGUAAACGAUGUCUACUAGCCGUUGGGGUCCUUGAGACUUUAGUGGCGCAGUUAACGCGAUAAGUAGACCGCCUGGGGAGUACGGCCGCAAGGUUAAAACUCAAAUGAAUUGACGGGGGCCCGCACAAGCGGUGGAGCAUGUGGUUUAAUUCGAUGCAACGCGAAGAACCUUACCUGGUCUUGACAUAGUGAGAAUCCUGCAGAGAUGCGGGAGUGCCUUCGGGAAUUCACAUACAGGUGCUGCAUGGCUGUCGUCAGCUCGUGUCGUGAGAUGUUGGGUUAAGUCCCGCAACGAGCGCAACCCUUUUCCUUAUUUGCCAGCGGGUUAAGCCGGGAACUUUAAGGAUACUGCCAGUGACAAACUGGAGGAAGGCGGGGACGACGUCAAGUCAUCAUGGCCCUUACGACCAGGGCUACACACGUGCUACAAUGGUAGGUACAGAGGGUUGCUACACAGCGAUGUGAUGCU